rnacentral:rRNA from 1 species
AUUGAACGCUGGCGGCAGGCUUAACACAUGCAAGUCGAGCGGAGAGAGGUAGCUUGCUACUGAUCUUAGCGGCGGACGGGUGAGUAAUGCUUAGGAAUCUGCCUAUUAGUGGGGGACAACAUUUCGAAAGGAAUGCUAAUACCGCAUACGUCCUACGGGAGAAAGCAGGGGAUCUUCGGACCUUGCGCUAAUAGAUGAGCCUAAGUCGGAUUAGCUAGUUGGUGGGGUAAAGGCCUACCAAGGCGACGAUCUGUAGCGGGUCUGAGAGGAUGAUCCGCCACACUGGGACUGAGACACGGCCCAGACUCUUACGGGAGGGAGCAGUGGGGAAGAUUGGGCAAUGGGCGGAAGGCUGAUCCAGCCAUGCCGCGUGUGUGAAGAAGGCCCUAUGGUUGUAAAGCACUUUAAGCGAGGAGGAGGCUACUUUAGUUAAUACCUAGAGAUAGUGGACGUUACUCGCAGAAUAAGCACCGGCUAACUCUGUGCCAGCAGCCGCGGUAA